ensembl:lncRNA
CGUGCAAGGCCAAGUCGUUUAAAAGAAAAAAAGAAACACACUUUACCACAUGUGGUCCGUUGUCCCUCUCCAGCUGUGAAUGAUUCGUUUGAGUGCAUUAGAAAGUCAAUGUGAAGCCGCAGCUGUAUGAUGUACCAGUAGUCCGAAUGCAUCUUCAGUGGACGUCACGUCCUCUGUCAGUGUGAACAGCCAGCCAAGACAAGACACUACAGCAUAAAGAAGUAAAGUACAAGCUCACACAAUAUAAUCUGUGCAGGCUAAGAACUUUAUAGUCCACUCAUUGAUGAAUGUAAUUGCGAUGCCUAAAUGAGACAAAUGUCUGUCCACACCACACCAAGUACAGACCUGUGCAACAGUGCUGCCUGGUUAU